rnacentral:rRNA from 1 species
UUAAUUGAAAACUGGUAUGAAAGAUUGAACAAAUAUAAAUUUUUUAUUUAUGGCUUGUUAAAAUUUAUAUUUUAUGUAAAAAUACAUAAAUGUUUAAAAGGGACGAUAAGACCCUAAAAGCUUUAUUAAUUUGUUUGUUUAUAUUAUUUUUAAAAUACGAUUAUAUUUUAUUUUAACUGGGGCGGUUGUUUUUAAAAACAAAAAUUUUUUUUACAUUUAGGGGUUAAGAUCCUUUAUAUAAGGAUAAUUGGUUUAAGUUACUUUAGGGAUAACAGCAUAAUAAUGAUGGGGAGACCUUAUUUAUAUUAUUGAUUGUGACCUCGAUGUUGAAUUAAAAUUUCAAUAUGGAGCAGAAAUCAUAUAUGAAAGUUUGUCCAACU